GAAAGUAAAAAAUGGACAAAAUUUCCUUUUCAAAUGGUACAUUAUCUCAUUUGGAAACGUUGGAGGCUUCUGCCCACAAUGUAGCACUGAAACAAGAGAAAAUAAGGGAACAUGAGGAGAAGAUAUUGAAGAUGAAAAUGAAGAUCCAGGAGCUGAGAAACCAAAGAGAUGAGUUGAAAACCAAACUAAAUGUUUGUCAGUCACAGUCCACUCCAGGCAAAGAUGCUAUGAAAAACAGUUUGCCAGUUUCUAAGGCUACAGCGAAAAGCCAAC
rnacentral:lncRNA from 1 species